ACUUCAGAGUGAGGUGGGUUGCAUCUAAAAGAAGAUAUCGAUGAAACAAAGUGCCCACAGUUAAGACUACUCUCUGUGCUUCACAUUGUGCGAGAUUCAGCUGUGUCUUCAGGCUGCGAUCAGACUGGUAUGGCUGCUCUUCAUCCUGGGUGAGCCUUACUCUUGCUCUGGGGCACCAGGAAGAUCAAAUCAGUGACACAGACAGCAUACCCAGACUUUGGAGCCGGGUCGGCAUUGUGAGAGGAGAGAAAUGAGGGGUUCUGGUAGUUUGCCUUUAACCUUCUCUUCCCUGGUAUUCUUUUU